GUGAGUCAUCGAAUCUUUGAACGCACCUUGCACUCCUUGGUAUUCCGAGGAGUAUGCCUGUUUGAGUGUCAUGAAAUUAUCAACUUCUUAGUUUUAUUACUUUGAAGCUUGGAUUUGGAAGUUGCUAGGCUUUUUAUAGUCGGCUCUUCUUAAAUGCAUUAGCUGCUUGUCCGUGGGUUGGCUCAGAGUGUGGAUAAGUAUCUACACUUGGUGGCUGCUUGCUUGGAUGUGGCUUCUAAUCGUCUUCGGACAACUACUUAAGAUCUGACCUCAAAUCAGGUAGGACUACCCGCUGAACUUAAGCAUAUCAAUAAGCGGAGG
rnacentral:rRNA from 1 species